AAAAGAAGCAGUGGGAUUAAGUGAUGGGGUGACUGCGUACCUUUUGUAUAAUGGGUCAGCGACUUAUAUUUUGUAGCGAGGUUAACUGAAUAAGGGAGCCGAAGGGAAACCGAGUCUUAACUGGGCGACGAGUUGCAAGGUAUAGACCCGAAACCCGGUGAUCUAGCCAUGGGCAGGUUGAAGGUUGGGUAACACUAACUGGAGGACCGAACCGACUAAUGUUGAAAAAUUAGCGGAUGACUUGUGGCUGGGGGUGA
rnacentral:rRNA from 1 species